rnacentral:rRNA from 1 species
GACGAACGCUGGCGGCGUGCCUAAUACAUGCAAGUUGAGCGAUGAAGAUUGGUGCUUGCACCAAUUUGAAGAGCAGCGAACGGGUGAGUAACGCGUGGGGAAUCUGCCUUUGAGCGGGGGACAACAUUUGGAAACGAAUGCUAAUACCGCAUAACAACUUUAAACAUAAGUUUUAAGUUUGAAAGAUGCAAUUGCAUCACUCAAAGAUGAUCCCGCGUUGUAUUAGCUAGUUGGUGAGGUAAAGGCUCACCAAGGCGAUGAUACAUAGCCGACCUGAGAGGGUGAUCGGCCACAUUGGGACUGAGACACGGCCCAAACUCCUACGGGAGGCAGCAGUAGGGAAUCUUCGGCAAUGGACGAAAGUCUGACCGAGCAACGCCGCGUGAGUGAAGAAGGUUUUCGGAUCGAAAAACUCUGUUGGUAGAGAAGAACGUUGGUGAGAGUGGAAAGCUCAUCAAGUGACGGUAACUACCCAGAAAGGGACGGCUAACUACGUG